rnacentral:lncRNA from 1 species
AUGGCUUCCUUCCUGGGUUGCCUUUCUUUGUGGCGUAGCACGGCGCUGGCAGAGCUCCUCACGUGGCACAGGAGCCGUGCUGACUCACGCGCUCACACGGGAAAUCCCAGCAUGCUUUCUGGCUGCUUCUCAUUCAAACGAUUCUUCCCAGCCUUCUGCUUUUGGGAAGGGAGCCUCAGUCUGCACCUCACACCCCGGCACUCUGCUGCUGUAAUUCAGCACAAAGAUAGCACAGAGGGUGCUCGUGUAUCCGGGUGAACGCUGCUGCAUUUUCGUCCUCUGAGGAACUGGGACGACGGAUUCCAGCGCCGUAGGAAUGAGAGUGAAUUGAGAGUCGAACCCCAUCAGUUAUUUAAGCCGGGCACAGCGCCUGGCCGUGCGUGCCCCACUCAGGUGUGAUCCCUCUGACUGGGGGCUGCCUAAACCAGCAGGGUCUUCUGCCCUACGUCUUCAGUACACU